rnacentral:lncRNA from 1 species
AGCCGUUCAUCAAAGUUUACAUCCAAAACAAAAACUGCCAUCAGACACGUACUUAUUCCUAUUUCCUGUUGCAAAUCUCAGAAUGAAAGAGACCCUCAAAAUGGACCUACUGGACGAUAAAACUUGAUCGUGAUGGAUCUAGAUCAGGAUCCCAUCAAAGUCUACACAAGAAAAGGAUAGGUCAUAUUCAAUCUUUUUUCUGGGAAUCUCUAGGGGUGGAUGCUCAUUUGUCAAUUUUGACCUGUCCGGACAAUUGUGAAUGGACAAAAUAACUUGAUACCCAUUGAAAACCCCAUAUUUGUCUUCCCAAUUAUCCAUUUCACCUCUUUUUUCAUUUUUUUUAACUACUCUGCCCAUUUCAUCAUCAUUUUAAUCUGACUUUAGCCUCUAUCUACUGAAGCUAGCAAAGAGUUUUGGCAUCCUGAAACAAAAAAAAUGUACACUACUUAUCUCUACUACUUAUAAAGACAUCAACAUGUUCAUUCCAACAUCCACCACACCAAAUGCACGC